AGAAGAGCAAGUUCCCAGACUAACUGUCCCUCAGCUGAGAAUGUUUCCUAUGUGCUCCUUGCCCAGGGACCAUGGACUAGAGGAAGAAGGUCUAGUUUCCAGUGCCAGCUGGACUCCUGAAGAGCUGCCCACCUCAUGCAGGAAAUGGACUCAAGGAAGAGACCAGCUUGAGACUGGGGCAGGAGCUGUGAGGUCAGGUGAGUGCCCCUCCCAGCUUCACCGUGGCAGGGGUCCCAUGGAGAUGCUGUGUUGGUAGAAGGAAGCCUUCCUUCCCCAUCAAGAACCCUUUACUGGACAGUGAGUGUGACUGACAUAGAAGCCCAUCCGUAUCCCUCUAUUCUCCUCCCCUGCCAGCCCCAUUCUCCUGACCCUGGACACCUCUGCCUUGCCCUUUGCCCAGGGGGCCUGUUUCAAAGACCUAUUCUUCCUUCUGGACCUGCACUGGAUACCUCCUCCUCCUGCAGAAAGCUGUCCCAGCCCACUCCAGCAGGGUCUGGAGCCCUAGUCAGUGCCCCUGAUCCUGGCGUGCCUGACUAGAUCUAAGCCAGUUCGAGACCCUCCUCCUUUGGCCCCGCCCCCACCUGGCCUCUGCAGGACUUCUUUGAGCCGCUUCUCACAUUGGGCCUGGGCACGGUGCAGCAAGAAGAUCUGCUCCUCUUUGGUCAUGACGUCAUCUGCAUCCACCUACCAAGCCGAAGCACGUACACCCUGGAUACUGGCUGCCACCCACGAGGGUUCACUGGCAUCAUUUUAAGGAAGAGAGCAGGAACAUCAUGGAGGUGGGGAACUGCCACUGCAGCAAGAAGAAUUCAAGCCAAGGAGCCAAGAAAGCACUUUCCCAAGGAGUGGAGGGCAGCUCUACAGCAAGAGCAUCCCCACUUGCUUUAGAGCACAGCUCGCCUGCCUGGAGUUCAUCCAUCACCUCUCCCUCCAGCUGCACCCUCUCCUCAUCUAAGGAGAUUCUGCCACCAGCACCGGAACUUGAAUCCUGCCUCCACCACUGACUGGCUUUGUAUCUUUGGCAAAGCUGUUUAACCCUUGUGCCUCAGUCUCCCACGUGUAAAAUCAGGAUAAUAAUAGGGCUGUUGUGAGGGUUAAAUGAGGUCCUGUAUGAAAAGCUUGGGCAGGGGUGGGGCCCACAAAAAGCUGGUUGCUAUUAUUACCACUGGGUCAGCAGCAGCACCAAGUCAUGGCUCCCCGCCUCCGGCUAUGGGCCACCGUGCUGCAGGGCACAUGGGUGCCCCCGGGCUCAGGACCCAGACAGGCAGGGGGAGACUGUCUGAGUAGAUGACUGAGACCAGGGGCCCACAGUGAGGGGCAGGUGGGUGGUGGGACUCCAAGGAGGAUUGGGAGCAGGGAGUACAGGAGGGCCUGCAGGUGAGGUGUGCCUGACAAGCUUUUGGGGUGAAAGGACACCCCAAUAACUCCCUGCAUUUCUCGAUCCACCCUGGACUCACACUAAGAUUCAGGGUCACUGCCAGACCCCCAUACUUGGGCUUAAGGGGCAGGAGGGCCCCUCCUCUGCCUCUGCCCUGAGUGAGGUCUUUUCUAAUGGAGUGAUGCAGAAAAUGCUGAUAGCUCUGAUUCUCCUCCUGGCCUGGACACUCCAUCCGCUGCGCCCUCCCCGACCAGCCCUUUUCCCCCUGCAGAGUUCAGUUCUUCCUGGCCUAGCUCCUGGUAAGGAGGACUCACUCAGACUUGUAUCAUUUUAGAUCCAGAGAGUCUGUGCAUCUCGGGUCUCACGGAUGAGGACUGAGGGACCUGGAGCUGGGUCAUGGCCAAGGGUCAGUUAGUCCAUACCCACCACUGAUAGGGUCACCUAGCCCUGGUGCCAGGUGCCCCAAACCCCUUUUCCUCCCACACCCCUCCUAUGGUCUUGGGUUAGGGCUGACUUCCCCUGACCUAACCAUUGUAGGGCUUGGCUGUAGCACUCUCCCCAUGUCCAACCCUCUAACAUGGAACCUUCCUGUGUACACACAUGUGCAUGAUCUGCAGUUUGUGAAUAUGCAGGGAGAGAAGUGGCCUGGGAGCCUAGGGCUGGUAUUUGUGGGGCUACAGGCAGGGUGAGAUGGGGGCUGGAAGCCAGUAUGUUAUCUACAAACAUAGAAGCUGCUGUCUCAGGGAGAAAGUAAUGUGUGGUCAAGAAGCCCGGAUGUGUUUCUCAUUUCCUGAGUUCAGAAGCUCAAAGGAAGAGAAAAGCCAUCUGCUCAGUACCCCUCCCGCCAGGGGGCAAGCAGCUCCUUCUAACUCAGCUCCCAGGGAGACCCCACUGAGAAUGGUGUUGGAGCUGCGGAUGGCAGUGAUGGUGGCAGUGGGGGUGGAGGUGAAGACAGUGAGUGGGGCAAUGUCAAGGCUAGUGAUGGUGGUGGAGGUGUGAUGGUGACAGUGGUGGUGGAGAGUCAGUUUCGUGCCACUGACCAAAUGAGGGCCACUCCUCUCAGUUCCUCUCCUAACUGCCAAAUUCCACACACUUGCUGUCUGUGAUCCCAGACAUGCCUACAUUCUCCUCCUCCGGGCAAAACAAAGGAGGAAAUACAAGGGAUCCUUCUUCAGCUGCUGACACCUCUGUCUCUGGGAAAAAGGCUCCUUCUACCGCAUGGUGUCAGCCUCAGGAUGCCCUCUUGGGUCAUCUCAUCCAUCGCUCUGACUGGGGUCGGCCUGCUCCCCCAGGGGAAGGCAGCUGCUGGCUUCUUGGUCACCUCCGGAGAAAGCAGAUCUACCAACAUUCAUCCCUGGAUGUGACCAGUGUCUCCCACCCCAUGAGAGCCCCUCUACAUGUUGGCACCAGCCAUUGCCCCUGGAGCUUUAACCACAUCUCCUUCAGCAUCCCCAUCUUACAAAUGAGGCCACUGAGGCGAGAGUACAGUUAGAAAGAAGAGGGCCAGGAAUGGAGCUAAGGUCUGCUUGAUACUGAAGCAGCAACCCCAGAGGAAGGGAAAGAAAGGAGGAAGCACCCCGCCACAUGGAUCCUCUAGUGCCAGCCUCAAUACCAGUUUGCCACAGAGUUCUUCUGGAUUGUAUCUUUCACUGUGUCAAGCAAGAGCCUCUUUGCAGAGCACCUAAGGCAGCUUCCACAAAGGUAAUUCAGGAAUGGAGGUAGACGUAGAGGUGAUCAGGUGGUGAUGGCGUUGGUGACGGCAGCUUGUGCUCAUCUCUAACUGGGCAGAGGACAGUUGCACCCUCGUAUUAGGAGGAAGGAGAGUUUGUACCUUCAGAAAAGCCAGAAGGAGAAAACCCUGGCUAACGGGAGACCCCCUUGUGACCUCCUGGCCUUCCUGCCCCUCUUCUCCAGGUUCCACUACUGGGACCUGUGCUGGCACCCCUCGAUGUCUCCCAUGCCAGCUGGCUAGGGACUGCUCCCUGCCCUUGCUGCCUUCUGGCUGGCUGGCUGGCCUGAGCAGGCUGGGACGGGUUCCUUGCCGGGGACACUCCUGCCCCACCACGCCACGGCUGACAAGUGCUGACUUUUCCUCCCCUUCGCCUGGCCUUCCUGAACAGGCUGCCUGUGUUCGGGGCUGGGAGGGGCUGGGGGGAGGCACUGUGACGCCUCUCAUCCUGGCCAGCGUGGAGGCAUUCAGGGCAGGCAGUGGGAUGGAGCCUGGGAUGGCAGAGUUGGCUGCUAGGACCCUGUGGAUCUUCAUAAGUGGCCUCUACCUGGGCUUGGGGACCAAGGCCCAGAAGGAUGGUAUGACCUAACCUAACCAUAACCUGGUCAGCAGAAGAGAAUCCUACCAGGUCUCACCUCUGCACAAGGCAGGUCCCAGAGUUGGGGUUCUGAAAGGUUUGGAGGUUUCUGAUGUCUUUGAGAAUCUGAGCAAAACUUUGCACCUCCUCCCAGUCACACUAUACUUUGCAGACAAUUUCAGGCAUCUGCAAACCCCCCACUCCACCCUUUCUUUUUCCGGGGGCUCUCUGAAAGAGCUGCCUUCCUGAUGUGGUGGCCGGACCAGGGAGUGUCCCCAGAAGGCCCACAACAGGAAUCUGGGGGAGGCCUCUUGAUGCCUCAUUACAACAUUCCGAAGAAAACCCAAGUUCCCGGGAGGGCUCAGCCCCCCUCCUCCUGCCCUGUCCUCAGGCAACUCCCAGAGCUGGGGGUGGAGGGUGGAGGUGUUUAAGGGCAGGUGAUAUAAAAAGCUUCGACGAAUCAAUACGAAAAAGACAAAUAACCCAUAGAAAGAUGGGUAAUGGCUCUGAGCAAGCUCUUAGAAGAUGGACACUAAGCCAAUGUAAAAGUCCAAAAGCUCACUGGUAAUUGGCAAAUUAAAAUGGCAAGAGACACCAUGGCAAAGGUGAGGAAAAGAAUCUUCAGGCUACCCUGUGAGACAGAGGGUGUGGGGAAGAGACCUCCUCCGUCAUUCCUAGUGUUGAGUAUAAACCCGCACAGGCUUUUUAGAGGGCAGUUUGGCCAUAUCUAUUACAAUAAAAAAUAUGCAUGUUCUCAGACCCAGCAAUGACAGAAUCUAGAAAUAUGCUACAGGGAAAUGGUUACACGAGGACAUGAGAGGGCACUUCAAGGAGCUUCCCUGCCACCGUCUGGAAUCUCUCUCUCUCUCUCUCAUACACACACACACACACUCAUACAAACACACAUGAAACUAUCUAAAUGUACAUUCCUAGGGACUGCUUAAUGAAUCUCAGGUUUUGGAACACUAUGCAGCAUUUAAAAAGAUAGAUUUAUGUUUACUGACAUGAAGAUCUCCAAGACACACCUUUAAGUAGAAAAAUGCAUAUGGCAGAGCCCUAUAUACAAACUGCUAUCAUUUACUAAAAAACAAAUACAGGGGCUUCCCUGGUGGCGCAGUGGUUAGGAAUCCGCCUGCCAAUCAGGGGACAUGGGUUCGAGCCCUGGUCGGGGAAGAUCCCACAUGCCACGGAGCAACUAAGCCUGUGUGCCACAACUACUGAGCCCUCGCUCUAGAGCCCACAAGCCACAACUACUGAGCCUGCGCUCUAGAGCCCGCGAGCCACAACUACUGAAGCCUGUGCACAGCAACGAACCCAAUGCAGCCAAAGAUAAUAAAUAAAUAAAAUAAAUAAAUUUAUAAAAACAAACAAACAGCAAAUGAUAGAAUAAAACUAUCUACUUUAUAUGUAUACAAAAAGGUACCUGUUUGGAAAUAUACAGAAAAAGAUCUGGGAGGACAUCCCCCACCCACACUGUUUAAAAUUGUUUUCUCUAGAAUGGGGAAUGGGUU